GAUGAACGCUGGCGGCGUGCCUAAUACAUGCAAGUCGAGCGAACGGACGAGAAGCUUGCUUCUCUGAUGUUAGCGGCGGACGGGUGAGUAACACGUGGAUAACCUACCUAUAAGACUGGGAUAACUUCGGGAAACCGGAGCUAAUACCGGAUGAUAUUUUGAACCGCAUGGUUCAAAAGUGAAAGACGGUCUUGCUGUCACUUAUAGAUGGAUCCGCGCUGCAUUAGCUAGUUGGUAAGGUAACGGCUUACCAAGGCAACGAUGCAUAGCCGACCUGAGAGGGUGAUCGGCCACAAUGGAACUGAGACACGGUCCAGACUCCUAAGGGAGGCAGCAGUAGGGAAUCUUCCGCAAUGGGCGAAAGCCUGACGGAGCAACGCCGCGUGAGUGAUGAAGGUCUUCGGAUCGUAAAACUCUGUUAUUAGGGAAGAACAUAUGUGUAAGUAACUGUGCACAUCUUGACGGUACCUAAUCAGAAAGCCACGGCUAACUACGUG
rnacentral:rRNA from 1 species